rnacentral:rRNA from 1 species
AAGGUAACGUCAAGACAGCCGGUUAUUAACCGACUGCUUUUCUUCCCAAUUGAAAGUGCUUUACAACCCGCAGGCCUUCUUCACACACGCGGCAUUGCUGGAUCAGGGUUUCCCCCAUUGUCCAAUAUUCCCC